rnacentral:rRNA from 1 species
AUGUUCGAUCCCACGGAUCAGGAGCUGAUCGAGCACCUUGAGGCCAAAGUGGGUGCUGACAGCGCGAGAUCUCACCCUCUCAUCGAUUUGUUCAUACCAACCAUCGACAGCGAGCACGGCAUAUGCUACACCCAUCCUGAGAAACUUCCAGAAUUGGUGAAGCAAUUACAAUUUGACAGUUAA